rnacentral:rRNA from 1 species
AUUGAACGCUGGCGGCAGGCUUAACACAUGCAAGUCGAGCGAGCGGCGGACGGGUGAGUAAUGUGUGGGAAACUGCCUGAGGGAGGGGGAUAACUACGGGAAACGGUAGCUAAUAGCGCAUAACAUCAUAUAUGCACAGAUGGGAUUAGCUAGUAGGUGGGGUAAUGGCUCACCUAGGCGACUAUCCCUAGCUGGUCUGAGAGGAGGACCAGCCACACUGGAAAUGAGACACGGUCCAGACUCCUACGGGAGGCAGCAGUGGGGAAUAUUGCACAAUGGGCGCAAGCCUGAUGCAGCCAUGCCGCGUGUGUGAAGAAGGCCUUCGGGUUGUAAAGCACUUUCAGCGAGGAGGCGUUACUCGCAGAAGAAGCACCGGCUAACUCCGUGCCAGCAGCCGCGGUAAUUC